UACGUAGGGGCCGAGCGUUGUCCGGAGUUAUUGGGCGUAAAGCGCGCGCAGGCGGCCUCGCGCGCCCGACGUGAAAGCCCCCGGCUUAACCGGGGAGGGUCGUUGGGGACGGCGGGGCUUGAGGGCGGGAGAGGUCGGUGGAAUUCCCGGUGUAGUGGUGAAAUGCGUAGAGAUCGGGAGGAACACCUGUGGCGAAGGCGACGUGCUGGGUUGCACCUGACGCUGAGAUGCGAAAGUGUGGGGAGCAAACGGG
rnacentral:rRNA from 1 species